CAUUUUUUUACAAAAUAAGUAACGUACUUUUUUUAUUUAGCGGAUACAGAUGACGAACAUGGAAUUGGAAAUUGGUCUACAUCAGAACCAUCAAUAAUUUCGCUAGCAGAUUCAUGGUCAUCAACAGAUGUUACUUAUGAAUCGGAUGCAGACGUGUUACCUCCACUUCUGCGUCUUAAUCAGCCAGCUAUUGAAACCAUUUGGCUAACUGAUUCGGAUUAAUAUGGUUUUUAGGGAGGUAUUUAUUAUUGUUGAAAACAUGAACGUUAGAGAUCACUGUUAACAGAUAGAGUUGUUGGAAAUUAUUGUCAUGUAUACUCUACGCUAUGAGACUUAAAUGUUUUAAAAUCAAUGAGGUGAACCCUUCACUAACCGAAGAUAACCACAAUCUGGAGACCAUCUUGCAUGCUCGAUCCAAGGUUCGUCGUUCGGCUCCCAAGAUCUCAGACCUUGACGACAAUAAAAACAUGAGACAUCAUCAUUUGAUCCAUCACCAAUAUAAAUAAAACCGGCUUCACUCAUAAGUUCUCGCUUUGAAAUAAGUAGUGUAUUACUACAUUUAUCAAAAGUCUUGUUACGCGUUUUACAAUCUAAAUAGUCUAAUGUACAAAAAACAUCACAUUCACUAUUAUAAUCAUCCAUUAUUAUACUGUUUAAAUUGAAUUAAAAUGACUAUCAUUUAUUUGAAACAUGUUUUUAUAUAUGAUUUAUUUCUUCCACUUCUUAUUUAGUAGAACACUCAAUGUUACAAAUAAUUUUCUAUACUAAACAAUAUAUAAGGUUAAACUAUAAUUUGUAAAAAUGGGCGGUAAAGCCCCAAAUUACUACUACUCGUUUGUACAGUUCCAAAAAAGUCUAAAACUUUCUCAGUGGCUUUACAAGCAUCAACGACUGCUAAAUUAAGACAGUGAGCAAAACACCAUAUAUUUAGAGCACUUGAAUUCUCAGCUUGUACAUAAGAUCUAAGACUUUUAAAUUCGCUCUGCAUACUUGAUGCACCAUUGUAUGCUUGGCCUAUCAACUGAAUUCUUUAAAUUAACCCAUGUUUAUCACAUAAUUUACUAAACAACUCAAACAUUCCUUUCCUGUAGAAUUUUCUAUAGC